UGCAGAAUCCCGUGAACCAUCGAGUCUUUGAACGCAAGUUGCGCCCGAAGUCGCUAGGCCGAGGGCACGCCUGCCUGGGCGUCA
rnacentral:rRNA from 3 species